rnacentral:sRNA from 1 species
CUGUGAUUAUCACCAGAUUCCAGGCAGAGGCGGGGGACCCAAGCGUCCCGGGCACGGCCACGCGCCUGCCCUUGGGGUGAAGCCGCAGCACGCGGCCGAAUGCCCUCAUUCGAACCCGACAGCUAACUCCGCAGGCGACGAGAGGUAGC